rnacentral:lncRNA from 1 species
AGAGUACGAGGCUUUGAUUGCAGGGAUGGAGAUAGCCCGGAAGUUAGGGGCCAGGUCGAUAAAAAUCUAUAGUGACUCACAGCUGAUAGUGAACCAGGUGUGGGGAAGCUACGAAGUCAAAGAGGGGACGCUUAGAAGGUACGUAGCGAAGGCACACGAAUUGAAGGGUUUGUUCGAGCAGUUUGCGCUUGAGCAGAUACCGCGGAGCCAAAAUAGGAGAGCUGACGCCUUAUCCAAACUGGCCUCCACCUCGGCAGGAGGCAUAGGUCGGGAAAUACUGGUGGAGAUGGUUAAAAGCCGAGCAUAUGACCAAGUCAGCACGGCGGUCAUUCAGGUAGUGAGCUCCUGGAUGGAUCCUGUCAUUCAGUAUUUAGCUCAGGGAGAGCUUCCACCAGACAGGACAGAGGCCCGCAAGAUCCUCCUCAAGUCACAGAGGUAUGUACUCACACAAGGGAUUUUAUACAGGAAAUCUUACUUGCAGCCCUGGUUGAGGUGUGUGACGCCUGAGGAAGGUAAUUACGUCUUACGCGAGCUGCAUGAGGGCAUCUGCGGCAACCAUGUCGGCCCGAGAGUAUUAGCCAAGAAGGGGAUGUUGGCGGGGUACUAUUGGCCCACCAUCUUUAAAGAUUCAGCCGAGCUGGUAGCCAGGUGUAGGUCUUGCCAGCUACAUGCCCCGAUCCAUCACGCCCCCACUCAGGAAUUGAUUCCUCUCAGCAGCCCGUGGCCAUUCUUCCAGUGGGGAAUUGAUCUGUUGGGGCCGUUUCCCCGAGCUCCAGGGGGUUGUGAGCACUUGGUGAUAGCCAUUGAUUAUUUCACCAAGUGGAUAGAGGCCGAGCCCCUUAACACGAUAAGCAGCAGGUCUAUUCAGAAGUUCCUUUGGAAAAGCAUAGUUUGUCGAUUCGGCGUACCAAGGACUCUCGCUCGGACAACGGCAGACAGUUUGCUGAUCAAUCUCUCCGAGAGUGGUGUACGGAGCUCGGCAUCCAGCAGCACUUCACUUCAGUAGGGCACCCCCAGGCCAAUGGGCAGGUCGAAAACGUAAAUAGAACCAUCCUGCAUGGCUUGAGGACAAGAUUAGAGUCCGUGAGAACUAGUUGGCUGGAGGAGCUACCCACCAUACUAUGGGCUUACCGGACAACACCUCGGACGGCCACCCAGGAAACCCCAUUUAUCCUAACAUAUGGGGUCGAAGCGGUGAUUCCAGCAGAGGUUGGGGUACCCUCAGGUAGGGUGCAACACUUUGUGGCUCAAGACAAUGAUGAGGAGAUGCGGCUUAAUUUGGACCUGGUCGAGCACCGAAGGGAAGAGGCGGCUAUACGGAUGGCUAAGUACAAGGGCCAGGUCGCACGCUACUACAAUGCUAGGGUAAGACGCAUUUCUUUCAAGCCAGGAGACCUGGUGUUACGCAAAAACUCCGUUAGCCGAGCUGUGGGCACCGGUAAGUUGGAUCCGAACUGGGAAGGUCCCUACGUAGUAAAAGAGGCUGACCGAGCGGGUUAUUGUAGGCUGGCCCGCCAGGAUGGAAGCGAAGUUCCACGUACCUGGCACAACUCAAAUCUGAAGCUUUUCCUUUAGGGGCUUGCCCGAGCUGAAGUGCUCAGCCGGACAGGUCGGCUCUAUAUUUUAUUAGUUCACUUUAUUGGUUCACUUUAUCUAGUUGGGCCUAUCUUGGCACCACUCAGUUUUGAGGUUUUUUCUUGAUAGUUCGUCCGAGCUGAGGUAAUCAGCUGGACAGGUCUGAUCUCCACUUCAUUAGUUAGCUCGGCCCGUAUUAGAACGGUUUCAAUGCCCGAGCUGAGAUAUUUUUAUGUACCCAAAGACUUUGAAUAAAGGAAAAUUUUUACAAGUGUUGGACGAGAAAGGCCAUCAGAGGCUAUCUAUUUCAUUUCAAAAAGAGGAAAAACAUCGAGGGGGCCAUACAAAAAGUGAGCUGGCCGAGCUCGCCCUAGUCUAAUAGACUUAUCUAAGUCACUAUCCCUAGUUCUCCCCUUGCUGUUCUUGCUCUUGCUCAGGGGAGGUCGCAGGCAGGGCAGGGUUGGCGACCAAGGCAGCCAGGUCGCGCCCAUUGGAGUAGCCCGUGACGAGUCUGUCAAUCUGGUCAGCAGCCUGGGGAUUAUAAUCAGGCCAUCUGCUCAGGUCAAAGCCCGGCAAAUUCAAAGACUGAACAUCCGCCAUGGCCUUGGUGUAGCCAAGCUGCAGGACGGGGCCAUUCAAGAUGGCCAAAUCAUCCAUAAAGGCCUCGGACUUCUUAAAAUCUCGAACGCCUAGCUGGCGCCCUUCCGUCCUGGCCGCUUCCACUAGUUCGACUGAUUUUUUCUGCUCACUCUCUAGCUGGGAAGUCAGCUCGGCGGACUUUUUCUUCUCAAGCUCGCAGGCGGCCUGGGAGUCGGCAAGCUGCUUUUUCGUUGCCUCCAGCUCUGCCUCGGUCGCUUCGAGCUGACUGGACAGCCUGUUCUUGGCCGCAUCAGCCUGGGAGAGAUUCUCUCCCAUGUUUUCAUAUCGCUGAGCCAGCUCGGCACCGGCGACGUUGAGCUGCAGGUCCAACUAUGAGAAGUCUAUGGAUUAAGGAUACUAAUAAAGUACCAAGUGAAGAAGCUACCUGGGCUGCGCUCAGGUAGUAGUGCGACAGCAACUCGGAGUUGGAUGCGAGCUGGAUAAAGUGAUGGUCGCGUGGGAGUACCGAACCUUUGACGAGCUCUCGAGCAGCCUCUGGAAACUGAGCUCGGUCAUUCAUCGACAACCCCCACUUCGGGCAGAAAUGGAGGGGGUGGGGAUGUGUGCUCAGCUCGGUGGGGGGCUUGAGAGGAAUGAUGUUCCUCGUCCGCCACAUCGAAGGGGGCGACUCAGAUGAGGCCUGCAGCUCGGCAGUGUUGACCCCAUAGUGCUCCGUGGAAGCGCCAGUAGGAGAUGGUUGGGGGGUAGGUGUAGCCGAGGUGGUCACCUCGGUCCUGGCUUUCUUGGCGGUGGUCUUCCUCCUCUUCUUUUUGGGUUCCUCCAAGGGGGUAGACUGAGCUGCGGGAAUAGGCUCUGGUGGGGGAGGAGCCACGUCACCAGGAGCUGAGGAGGGUACCGAGGUAGCCGCGCGCGAGCUGCCUGUCCCUCCUAUGUUCAGAAGCUGGGAGAACCUCUUCACUGAGAGCAAAGAAAGGGGUCAGUUCGUGCGACAAAGGAAAAGAAAGGAAAGCAAGGAAAAGAAGAUCAAAGGGAUUACAAGCUGUAAGCUCCUCGGGUGUGAGAGGUCGGAGGUCAGGCGCAGGGUCGUUCACCUCUGCUCGAAUCAGCCCCGCCGACCGGAGCUGGGCAUUGCUAAAUUCCUUCACCGAUAAUCGAGCAUCCGAGCUGACCAGGAGGUCCAGUUCGGCCGCAGGAAGAGGUGAAGGAAUGGGGUCGGACACCUGGGUCUCCUCCCUCCAGGUCAGGGGAGGGAAACCCGUGUUCUUCACAUAGAAGAACUGAGCUUUCCAGCCCUUAAUGGAAGAGGGGGUGUGCGUGAACAGCUCGCGGGUUGGGAGUUCUCCCCCGCUCCUGCGAGCAAAAUAGAACCAGCCAUGAACUGGCCCGCUCACUUUCAUCUGAAAGAAUGACCUGAAAAGGUCUAGAGAGUAUGGAAUUUCGAGGACUCGGCACAUAAUAAAAAAGCCGAGGAUCGAUCUGAUGGCGUUUGGAACGAGCUGGGUUAUACGAAUUCCCCAGAAGGUUAGAAUUUGGUAAAGGAAUUGGGGAAUGGGAAGACGGAGACCAGCUAUGAGCUGAUCCCUGUAGAUAGCCACAAACUCAGAAGGAGGUCGGCAAGCGUACUCCCCUGGUCGGGCAGCCCUGGCCUCGAACUGAAGGGGGAUAUCAUACCUCCCCACCAGCUCGUCGACACUUCCCUGGUCUAGGAUAGGGGGGAUAAGCUCGACUUCCCCGAAGUCGAUAUCCGGCCCCCUGGAAGGUCCCGCCCUGGUCCGAGCUGGAGUUACCUCUAGGGGAAUCCCUAGGUCGGCAGCUCCAGCGUCAGGCCGGACAGGUUGGGUGGGUUGGUCCAUCUCUAAAGCAGGAGAAUGAAUGGGGGAAGGUAGGUACUCUAACGAGCUGGAAGAAGAAGAGCUAGAGGAGGAAGAGAUUAUUUCUAUAGGUGCAGGUCGGACUACUCUACACCUAGGUGCCGAGCUGGUGAUGUCUGAGUGCGUGGAGGAAGAAGACAUAAAAGGGAAAAGAAGACUUACUAGUGGAUGAAGAGCUGAUAUGUGCUUAAGGGAAAGCGCUACUCUGGAACUCUCUAGACAGGGAGCGAGCUGGUAAAAUUUGUGAAGGAGGAGAAAUGAGAAAGGAAGCAUGAAAGUGACGUCUGGUAGGGUCUAUUUAUAGGCCACCAGGGCGGGAAGAUGAAGAGUCCCGAAUUGAAAUCUCAAAAUUUAUUGCUGAGAAACCGUCACCUUGGAAAACGUUUGAGCUGACAACUACCGUCAUGGGCGGACGUGACCCCUGAAGUAACGGUUAUGACAGCAUGCGUGGCGGUUAUCCGUACAAGGUGCACGGUCGUGGGAUCGUGGGUCCCAUCCCUGGCAGACCUGACGCCUCGAGAUUUGGUCUACAUUCACGCGACCCCUCGGUGACUCUAGACUCAAGGGGGGCUAGUGUAGUGGGGCAAAUCCGCGCAUGACAUGUGUCAGGUCGGUAGACCACACGCGGCAGGUCGGCAGUAGGUACCUCGAGGCUGGCAUGGGCCAGCUCGGCCUAAGAAAGCCAGCUCGGCAUGUUGAAUGUCUCCUAUGAUGGGCUUGAUGGGCCGCCGUCUCCGAACAUUUAGGGGCCGCCGCGGGAAACCCUAGGAAGACUCCGAACCCUAAGGGAACUUUGACUCCCAUAAGGAAACUACAACUCGAACGGUCCUAUAUAUACUCCGCUAUCAAGACUACGCAAGGUACGCUCACAAGUAUUCUCUACUAUUACUAUAUCAUUCUACGGCCAAACUAACUUGACCGUCGGAGUUAUCCCAGGGACAUCAGUCCCGCCUCCGUUCUUUCUUCUCAGGUCACCUAGCACGAUCCCAGCUCGACUUUUCCAAUCAGGUCGGCCGCAUCAGCUCGGACACGGUUUUCGGCAGUCGCAUCACGUUACUUUUAGCUCCUAAAAUUAUUUUUAAAGUGUUUGGUGAACAUCAUUUCAUAAAAUUAGAAGCAGAGUUUUUAGUGUUAAAAGUACUUUUAGCAAAAACUCAAAUUUGGUGCUUUUAAAUUAGCUUUUGUGAUUUGAAAAAUAAAAUACCAAAUUUAAUCAUCUUAUCCUAAUUUAUGAACCAAAUAAAAAGAUAAAUACUUUUAAAGAUUUUUAAAUUACACAUUAUCUAAUAUAAUAAGUACCUAUUGAAUUGUAUAUCCAAAUAAUAUAUUUAAAGACAUUUAAGCAGUUGAUAAGUACUUUUAUUAAAAGAUCUAUUAGAGAAGUACUUUUCAAUAUACUGCUGCAACUCCAAGCAGCCCUAAGUAAGAUUUCUAAGCGAGUCUCAAGUCUCUACGACAUCUUGGUGAAACAAUUUACUUAAAAAUGAAAGAAAAUAAUAUUAGGAGAAUCUAAUUGUCACAUCCCUACUUAAUCUAGACAUAUAUUGACACUGUUAAAAGAGAAUUAAUUUCUUUUGUGUUAGUAGUGUAUAUACUAGUAAUUUUGAAUACAUAUUAUUUGAUUUUAAUUUGAAUUUAGGUUUCAAUCUUGUUUGACAAUCUAAUUCAGCACUUAAAUAUAAUGAAUUAAAAUUUUAACAUAUUCAGACGUGUUUGAUCAUCAAAAUUAGAACAUCUGAAUUCAUUAAGCGGCCACUAAAUUUCAUAGGCAAAAUUUGGUCUAAAAAAAUAAGUGAUAAGUUAUUCGUUUAUCAUUUAAUAUGAUAUAUAUUUAAAUAUAUCAAAUUUAAUAUUGAAUAAUUCAUUAAUUUGAUAAUUUCAGAUUUCAAUUUUACGAGAAGCAUAUUUCAUCUUUUGCAUAUGUCCACGCAUUUAAAGGUGCUGAUUAAUUAAUAUAUAUACUAUCUGCGAAUACAAGGUAACAAACUGAGGAGGUGUCCAGGCCAUGAUGUACGAUAAUUGGAGUUGAGCACUGAUCAGAGGCCGCCAGGGCCUACUUUUAUCCAUCAGUUACAGUUUUCAGUUUUGGCUCAGCAUAAGGGGUCAAAUCAACAACUAACACUCUUCCCGCGACACCAAAGUGCCCAGCCCAACUGGUGGGAGUUUAGAGCUGAGUCACUCAACUGUGCACACCGAAACGGCGAAACCCCGAGAGACCGGUUGGUGAGUGCAUCAAGUGCCAUCGCCCCAUUCAGCGCUGCCACCCAUCCCAACCACCUCGUCCACAUUUUUCAAACAAUUCUGUUGGACCACUGUCCACCAUUUGAUGCUGUUUCCAGAUUCAUUUUUCAGAGCCUUUGAAAUUUGUGUGAGAAGUACGAAAACUGAUACAGAAUCAGAUAUAGGAGAUGUACAAAAACCGGAAGAAGGCUAUUUAGUAAAACAGAUGAAUUUCCACCAUGAAUUCUCAAUUGCCCAUGUUAAUUGCUCUAGCCUUCAUCCUACACUAUCAGAAUCAAGCCCACUUUCCUCUUUCCUUACUUUCUUGAAAAAGCACUGGUAUUCACUGCAGUAGAAAGUUUGUCAUUCCCUCCGUCUUUAUCUCUUUCCAAUUUAACUUCCCUUUUCCUUUAUCUGCACUCAAACUUCCAAUAACUUGUCAAGCAAUCUUUAACUAAUCCAAAUCCAGGUCACUCCAUAUUUGUUUCUUUUAGUACUAGCCAGUAUUUCGUUGUCUUCGUGCUGCGGUCAAGAAUGGACGUCAUUACUGGUGGGCUUACGGUUGCUUCUUCUGAUUCAGUAAACCACGAGGCUCCAUCAUCUUCAUCUUCUGCACAUGUUCAAGAACAAGAGGAGAAUGCAUUUCUUGCCCGUGAUCGAACCCCAAACGACCUUGAGCAGUACCACCCCCCGCAUCAGCACCGCCAUCGCCCGGUAUCUUAUCGCCUAAAUGUUUCAGUAUUUCAGGUGGUUAACGCAAGUAUCAGAGAUGAGGCGUGUGCUGCAUUCAUAGUCCUCGUCACUCUUUGGAUUUUGGGUACUACUAUUUUCUUUUCUUUUUGAAAUUUUCUUGAAUUGGGCACAUGAUUUGUCUAAAUGUUGCUCUAUUAUUCUUUCUUUGUUUGACGAACUCAACAAAUGUGUUUCCGGUGUCUUGUCAAGAGAGAUAGUGAUUUUGAAUAGAGAAAACCCAAUUAGUUGUAGUGCUGUUUUUUGGCGUGAAAGACUCCGUAUUUCUGUAAAUUUUGAUCAUACAACAUAUGCGCGAAUCUUGAGUUUUUAUUUGGAUUUUUGACAGCUUGUCUUGCUGUGAUACUGGGAUUUUAUGGACCUUCAAACAUUGAGUUGGGUCCUAAUAGUUCACGCCUUUUAGAUGCCAAUCCAUUUUUCGUGCAGUCAAUCAAGGUCAGUUGUUGGAUGCUUUUCUUCUACUCUUGCUGCUUUCUCUGGCGCAAAACACGAGAGUUUGAGUUGGUUUAUAUACAUACAGGUCAAGGAAUUACAUGAAUCAAAACACCGACCAGUUCUGUAUGGGUUUAAUGAAUUACCUCCUCUGGAUGUUAAAAUUACCUGGACAGAGGCACAUGUUGCAUUUGUUGAACCUGGAAACCACAGGGUAAAGUUUCUUCGGUUGCCUCUUGGGUCUCAAAAUUCAAUGAUUUCUUGAGUCUUUUGAGCUCUUUUGACUAAAGUGCGUAGUUGAAAACAUCUUUGUUCUACAGGAGUGGCAAUACUUUCUGAACAAAGGGUCGAAAAUACGUGUUUCAUACUGUGUAAAAAGUCCAACUGGUGCUGCUUUGUCCCUUGUAAUAGUUGAAGGUAAAAGCUCUGGAUCUCUGGAAUCUUUCUGAUUGCUGUGUUUAGUUAUUCAGUGCAUACAACUGUCUCAAUUGUUGUUUAUAAGUGUUUGAUCUAGUAAGGCUUGAUGGUAAAAAUCCAAUGGGUCAGAGUCUUUAAAAAAAAUUAGAUCGUGUUGACUAGAGUUUCUGAUUGUGAUAAUAGGCACGAUUUGUAUCAGAAUAUAAUUUCUAGGCCUGAAAGGAUUCAAAUAUGAAUUUCAGGACUUAUCCUAUUUCAGAAUCUUUGCCAUCUUCAUCGAAAAAUUUUUGAGAACCUUGAAAAACUUUGAAGGUUGCUUUGUGUGUGUGCGUGUCUUGCUUUUUGGGACAGGAAGGCAGGUGGUGAGUUUCUAGACCUACUGUUAGGUUAAUCCUGUCCUUGAGAUCCUGAUUAAAGAGUCCUCAUCUGAAACCAUCUAGAGAUAUUUUUUAAUUCUAACUGGUUGAAAUUUUGGCUUUAUACUGCUCCCUUUUCUUUCUACAUUCCCAUUUCUGGUCUAACUUUCCUGUAAUUUAUUUUGAAGGAAAAGGAAACCUUGUUGAUUGGAUUGGGGACCCAUCACAACCCACUACGACUUUAUCCUGGAACAUUAUCCAUGGUAAACAGCUAAAUCUCUGUCUCUCUCUCUGUCUCUCUCUCUCUCUCUCUGUGAGUGAGAGAGAGAGAGAACAGAUGUAGUAGUUUCAUCAUUACCCUUUUUUUUGAGUUGCUUUGAGCAUCUAUGGCUUUUGUUUCCUUUCUUUUUUCAUUUGAUACUCCUUGCAGGAACUGGAACAGUAGAGCAGGAAAUUUUGAGAUCCAAAAUGUAUUAUAUUGCAUUGGGGAACUUGAACUUUGAGGAAGUGCAGGUAAGCUCAACAUCUUGACUCUUAUAAAUACUUCGUGAUUACAUCACUUUUAUAGAUUAAAAGUUUCAAGCACGCAUAUUUUAAAAUUGGAAAUUAAUUAGAACGACUGCAGUGGCAUAGACUAAAUAUCUUUCAAUGAAAUUAUGGUAGAAGUAUUGACGUCCCAUAAUGUGCUAGAUGUUUACUUGACAUUCCUCCAAGGCAGAAAAGAGCGAACAGCACUGUAAAUUUCUUGUGGGAAUGAUUUUGACCUGGCUUCUGAAGGUAGUUAAAAGUCAAGCAUACUCUUUUUGUUUUCCCCCCCUUCUGGCAACCUCCCUCUUUUAUUACUUUAGGCUACUUUAGAUAGACAUUUGGUUUGUUACUUGUUGGCUCAAAAACCAUUCCAUUGAGCUCUAAAUGCAGAUGUUUAGACAAAUGAAUUUCUUGUCUGUUCUUAUGACUUUCAUAAGGUUAUUUCGUUCUGUAUAACUGCUUUCCAUCAUUUGUGCAUUACUUAGGAUACCUCGAUGGAACUGAACUCAACUAAGGUAAAAGCAUGUAGGAUACUUCUUUAGGCUGCUCAUGGAUGUUUUUGAGAAAUGAUGAAAGAAUUAUUGUGCUUCAUUACUAGUAAUAAUUCUGAAAAUAGUUUCUGUCAGUAGAGGUAAUAUCAUCACAAUCCCUCUUGCCUCAUGCAGAUUGAUAUUAAUUUAUGAAAUUACUACCAGGUUCCCUAUAGCAUGUCUUACAGCUUAAGUUUUUCUAUCCCUUAAAAUCAACAAUUACGGUGACAAUUUGACAAUUAGCAGAUUUUUCUUUUUAUUGAAAAUAAAGAAACUUUAAAUGCGUCUCUGGAAUUUUACAGAUGAAAAAGGGAAGCAUUUUAAAAAUAUCUAAUGCACGUCCACUACCUUUUAAGUUUAAGAAUAACAGUAAUAGAAUAUUUGGUUCCACCAGGACUCAAGGGCAAAUGAAACUAGUUUGUCUUACUAAAGGGAUCAAGUUCAUGUUGCAUUUUUGGUUGGGCCAGGAAAGGGUAAUUUUAACAUUAUUGCAUCUGAAUAACUAGCUCUUGAAAGUUAAUAGAUGCCUGGUAUCAAUCAAAGGUCAGUUGAUCCCAUAUGUGGGGACAUUAUGGGGAAGCAAGGUUAUUGUUAGUUGUACCUUACAAAGAGCUAAAACAGUAUCUGACAGUUUACAUCAUGCCGUUUGAUGAAUUCAAUCAAAUUGUAUAGGUUCAGUUGAACUUCACAAUAGAGGCUCUGACGUACAAUACAACUCAAGCCAAUUAUAAUUGCUCAGUGAGUCAUCGGCCUUGCAUUUGGAGGCUAUUUUUCAUGGGAAAUGCUGCUAUCAUCACUACUCCUGGCCCAGAGCUGGUAAGGCAGCUACUUUCAGUGUGUGUCUUACUAUUAUUCUUAGCAGAAAUUUAGUUCAUGACAGUCAACAUUAAUUUUUUGUAUUCUUCUCUCCCUCCCUCCCUCUCUCUCUCUCUAGUUUGAUUAUGCAAGUUAGAUUGCUUUUUAUCCCUGACGAUUAUGACUGCAGUCAUGAAAACAAAUGCUUUCAAACUAAUUAGAAUAUAUCGUGGGUUUUUUUUUAAAAAAAAAAAAAUCAAACACAGAGUUAUCCAAGUUCAGCGGUUCUGUUUCAUUGACUUCAUGUCCAAGGUGGACGCCAGAUUAAGAUCUUGCUGGUUUUUUUUUUCAAUGUUUUGGCUAAUCACUACAUUUUCAUGGCCCAGAUUUGUUACUUUUUAUGCCUUUGCGACUGGGCUAAUGAUAUUAUCACUUAGAUGUAGAUAAGAAAGUAUAUUACAUGCUCAGUAUGAGGAAGUUGCUGCAUUGAUCAACAUUAAUGUGUUGUGCAGUCAAGAAUAUUAGCUUUGUCUUUUGUCAAAGUGAACCUCUAUCAUCCAUCUAAAUUGUAGUGUCUCCACAUAUUAAUCCAUGAUUCAAUGUUUCCAGGGUAUGACCAAUUAUAUAUGGCAUGCACAAGUAUCUUAUGGUCAACGAUGGAUUUCAUACUUUGUUGGAUCAGGUUUGUGUUUUCUGAAUUUGAUAUUUUUUCUGCGGCACCCAGAAAAGUGUGUGACACUGAAUGUGGAUUUGCUAUAUUUGCAGCCUCAAUGACCGUCCUCCUUAUACUGGCAACAAAAAUUUGCUUCUCAUUUAGGAUUACUGGAGAAUAUGAGACAGGAUUCCAAGCUGGGAUGACAGCAUCUGAAAGAGCCCCACUGCUUUCUCAGAAGGAUGAUGAUCUUUCUAGUUGGGGCUCUGUUGAUUCAAUGUCACACGAUGAAGAGGAGUUGAAUGACUCAAUAGCCACCCCUGAUGGAAAGCAACUAAAGGAGGGAGACGGCCUUAAAGAUCAUAGACAGCUUUGCAUCCUUUGCUCGGAUGCAUUUCGUGACUGUUUCUUUCUUCCUUGUGGGCAUUGUGCUGCCUGCUUUACUUGUGGGAAAAGGUUAGUUGACUUCACUGUUGCUCUUAUACCGAGAAAAUCUUGGAUUCUUGGAAUGGUCAUUCUUUAUCAAUGCCGGUGCCAUAUUUGGAAAAGAAAUUUAAAAAAUUUAUGCCCUUCAUUUUUUUUUUUCCUGCCUUCAUGAAGGAGCAGUGGAAGGGGGAGAAGGGGAAUUGACAAAACACGAAUGGCAUUUUAGUUGUUGGAAAGUUCGUUAAGAUGAAAAUUGUGGUUUCAAAAUCUCAUAUCCAUAAUUCCGUGUGUCUUUAUGCAGGGCCAUGGAGGAGGCUGGUAAAUGUCCAAUCUGCCGUAAGGCAAUGAAGAAGGUGAGGAAGAUUUUUAGCGUGUAGAUAUUGAGUUUCCUGUUUGGGAAACGAGUCUAGCACCGAGUGAAGUGAAACUGCUCACUGAAAAAAUGAUGCGGAAACCUUGCUGGAAGAUGCAUCAGAAAUGGAGCACAAGGAAGAUGCAUACCAUUUUUAGAUUGGGUUGCAUGAGCUUGACUACAGUUACAGGUCCAUGUAAAUCGUAGCUAAAUUUUUUCUUGAUAGGAAUCCUCAGUCUUCCAUGUAAAGCUUCAAACAAAUUUGAAGCAUAAUGGCUUUCUUUACGUGCCUAGAUCAGUAUAAAUAGACAAUUAUUGUAAGUGAAUGGUAUUCAACAUAGAAGUACAUGAUUUUCUGGAGGAAUCCUUGCUUAUUCUAAGAGAAUAGGACUGCUUUUUUUUGGGUGUACGGUAGUGUACUGGUGCCCUCUUGUCAGUUAUUAUUGUCUUCUGCUUGAAACGUUGGGGCUCUGUUUCGCAGUCAAAUUUUGUUCAUGGGCCCUAAGAAGCCCGCUGGACAAUUUCGGCAACAGGUGGAGGAAUUUCUCUUAUCUAAUGGGGAAUAAGGGACUGGUGGAGUUUGCCCCUACGCGGAGUAUCUCCUCGGCGGCUACACUUAAACUCGGAUUAAGUAUUGUAAUAAUGAUCCCUAAGUUCGUCAUUUUUUCCCACUUAAACUCCAUUUCUAUUUGAAAACAUUACCAGUUGCCAAAGACUUUUUUCCAACACAUUUUAUUGAAAAAAAAAGGAUCAAUAGCUCAAAUCUUGACCUGCCAGUUGCCCUAGCAUAGUUGCCUAAUUGGCUAACAAUAAUAUUUCCCGUUUAAGAUUAAAUUGCGAACCAUCCACAUAUUCCAUCACCAUAAAAUGGUUUAGCUACAUAAUAAAAACUAGUGUUAAAGGGAUAUUCAAUUUGUGUCAUUAAAAAACUUAUAAUUGUGUUUCUUCAAUAAAAUAAUACAUAAUUUGGUAAUCUCAGUAUUUGGGAUAAUUAUAAGUACUUAUGCGAGCAAAUGUGGUUGGUGAUUAGGGCAAAAAAUGGUUUUUUUUAAGGAAAUGACACGAAAUGUUUAUGUCAACUCCCUCUUUUUAUAUAUUGUAUAGAUAACCACUAGGGGUGUUCAUCGGCCGAUAAUCAAUAAUUUAGUACAAAAAAGUUUGCUUUUUUAAAAAAAAAUAAAAAAUUGACAUCCAAUUAUCGUCCAAACUUUUAUUUGGUAAUUUGGAUAUUGAUAACUACAUUGUGACUGGAUAAUUGAUAUUUUGGUAAUAUCCAAAGUUUUGAAUUGGGGUUUUAGGUGGAUAGUUAAGUAUAUUUAAUAUGUAACUGACAGUAGAGAAGUUACUAAUACGUUACUUAGUACGAUAUUAAUGUCACAUAUUUGUUAGAAGCUGAAAUUAUAACACUAUUUACUAAUAAAUUAAACAUCCAUUCUCAAACUAUUUUAGAUAUUAAUCAAUUUUUUUGAAUUCCAUUUUACCGAAAUUGGAUAUCCAUCUAAAUUGGAUCUCACCUAAUCACCACUACCAUAGGGUCAAAAAGGAAAUCACGCUAUAAAUGUAAUUAAGCCAAAAAAAAAAGAAGAAGGAAACAUUCCUCUCCUCUAGUACACCAAUCAAAUUCGGAGUGUGGGGACAAUUUCAAAUGAACGGCAGGUUGGGAAUUUAAAGCGAGUAAUUUAAUUGGUAGUAUAUUUUGGUAAGGAUAUAUUCGACUGCGGCGAAGAUAUUAAUACUAACAGAAUAAAUGGGAUUCGUUAAAUGGAUGAUAAAUUAAGUGCGUCAGCCGGUUACGGUUCUUUGGGUUGGUACCAAACUUUUAAUUAGAAAAACAUACAUAGGAUCGAGUGUGUUUGAAUUGUUAAAUUAUCUCAAAUAAUAUUUCGUUUGUAUCAUAACUAUGUUAUUUAUUUUUUUUAAUAUUUUUAAUUAUUUUUUUAUUUUAAAUACAUCACAUCACAUCACAAAAUAUACUAUAAUAAUUAUUUUAAAUAAUACUUUAUCCAAACACAAGUUUUUUUUUUGGGUAAAAAAAACAGCAUGAAAGUUGUUGGCUUUUAAAAAGGUUAUGAUUUAUUUUAUUGACCACACAAAGAAUAUGUUAAAGGCUUCAGAUGACGCCAAAACAAUUCCACUUGCAAACCAAAGGAUGAAUAAAUAAAUAAAUAAUUGGGAGGAGACGGAGUAGGCGGACAUUCCACGUGGAAUAUGGGUGCGUGUACCGGCCGAUAAAACAAAAACCGCCAACUGUAAAAUAGGAAAGAAAGAGUGAAAGAGAAAGAGAUGGGAGAGAGAGCAAAGAGCUCAAGAGACGGAGCUCGCAUGGUAUUGGUGACAGAGAUUUUUAAAUAAACACGCAAUCGUUCGCCGACGAUGAAAAAAAUGCUGCUGCCCCUCCUCAUCCCCAAUCUCCACCACCGCCAACGCCAGCGCCAGCAACUAACAAAAUGGGCCUUCUAUCAAACAUUUCCAGGCCUGCCAAUCGCUCCCCUUCCUCAUCCUUCUUCAUUCCCCGCUUCUUUGUCGUCGUUGCCGCACUCUCUUUCACCAUCCUCCUCUUCUUCGAGGUGCCCUUUUUUGGUCUCUUUUCGUUUGAUUCUUUACGUCGUUACUGCUUAGUAUUUUAUUUGGACGUGUUUGGUUCUGUUCUUUACCUAUUUGGGCAUGCUUAGAGUGGAACAACAUAUAACGUUUGCGCUAUCCUUCAUCUUUGCUCAGAAAGUUAUUCUUCCCGACCAUUUCUUAGUUGAUAUCUAGUCUGCUAUCUGAUAAAUUGAUUUCUUAGUUGCAUCACAAUAAAUCUAGUCUGUUAUCUAAUAAAUUGAUUUCUUAGUUGCAUCACAUUGGCCCGUAAGUCUAUAAAUCCAUGAUCUCUCUGAACGCCCAACCCUCACCCCCACCAAAAAGAUAAAAAUAAAAAUAAAAAAGCUUUGACUGGAAGGUUGCAAGUGAUUCAAUUUUGCAUUUCCAAAUUGAUGACGGUAUUUUUUUUUUUUUUUGAUUGAACAGGUGGAUUCAUUUGUGCAGAGCUUCGUUUCAAGCACCAAAACAAUUGCCGGACACAACUUGGAACCCACACCAUGGCAUCCUUUCCCGCCAAAACCAUCCUCCUUAGACCAAGAAUCCAAGUACUCGGUCGCUUCCAAAAUUCUGCAGUGUUCUUACCUUUCUUGUGGUCGCAGCACCACAGAUAACACUUCACAGCAUAACCCGCCAAAACAUGAUCUUUCCAAAAGCGAAAGCUGUCCUGAUUUUUUUAAAUACAUACACAGGGAUUUGGAGCCCUGGACUAAGUCUAAGAUCUCUGCGAGGCACAUUAUGGGGGCUCAAAAUUUUGCAGCUUUUAGGAUUCUGAUAAUUGGUGGUAAAUUGUAUGUGGACUUAUAUUAUGCCUGUGUACAGAGCCGGGCAAUGUUCACUAUUUGGAGUUUCUUGCAGCUUCUUAGGAGGUACCCUGGCAAGAUUCCAGAUGUGGAUUUGAUGUUUGAUUGUAUGGAUAAGCCAACUAUUAAUCGCACUGAGCAUGCUUCGAUGCCUCUACCAUUGUUUCGCUAUUGCACGACACCAGCACACUUUGAUAUUCCGUUCCCUGAUUGGUCUUUCUGGGGUUGGUAAGAUUCUGGAAUUUUAUGUACUCCAAUCUUGGUUAUGUUUAGAAGUAAAGUGAUUGUAGUUAAGUACAAUCUACAGGCACAAUGAUACGGUUCUUUUUCCUCUUUUUAUGUGACUAGGCUAAUAUGAGUUUGAACUGAAUAAGCAUUUAGUCGAGUUGUAAAGCUCACAGACAGCAUGUUGUAAAGGAGUUCACAUGUAUUUGUGACAAUGAUCAUCCUAUUUGAGUGGAAGAUUCAUGCAGUUUUUUGAAGCACCAAAUGCAUCCUUUCCUGUUUAUAAGACUGCCUAUUUGUAAUUGUCAAUAGUCAUAUUCUAGUUAUAGUUUUCUUUGUUUCAAUUCAAGGUUGUUAUGAACUCUGGGCAGUGAUUGUUGCAUGGUCUUUCUGUCAUAAGCUCUUACUCAAUGCUUGAACAUUUUCUGUCUGAUAUUCAUGGUUAAUAAUAACUAUGUUUGACAGGUCAGAAAUCAAUAUACAGCCAUGGGAAGAAGAAUUUAGAAGCAUUAAAGAAGGUUCACAAGCUCACAGUUGGCGAAAGAAGUCGCCUAUAGCAUACUGGAAAGGAAACCCUGAUGUUGCUUCUCCUCUUAGGAUGGCGUUGCUUCAAUGCAAUGACACUGAGAUGUGGAGAGCACAAAUAAUGCGACAGGUUGAUGGGUUUCGAUUUUCAUCACCCCUUCAGUGUUUUGCAUACGUUGAUUUUUAUCCUGAGCCAUGAAGGCAAGGAAUUUCUAAAUUUUCCCCUUUUCCCCUUACCUUUCUGAUCACAGGACUGGGGAGAAGCGGCAAGAGGAGGUUUUAAGCAGUCAAAACUAUCAGAUCAGUGUAACCAUCAGUAAGUUGCUUUACAAGUCUUGCAAUAUCUCCACUUCAAGAACCACAGCGAGUUGGCAGUUGGGACAUACUGCCAUGGUUGCAACUGGUUUAAAAACAUUGAGUGGAACCUCAUUUAUAGAUUUCUUUUUUCUCCAUAUAUUGAGGAUGAACUGAUAGCUGAGUAAAACUCAACUAUAGUCUGGUAGUAAUCUAGGUUUGUCUUUGCUAUUCACUCACUUCUGAUCACCCUGCCAAAUGCACAAGCUUGGAAGAUGAUUCAAAUCACUUAGAUUUUGGAGGCACCCGCCACAGAUUACAUGUCUCAUCAUCGCAUUGCACUGAUGUUUGUACAAAGUAUGUAAUAAAUAAGUAUGUACAUGGCAAGGUACCAAAUUUAUGAGUCCUAAUUGGUUCUGUGAAAGUGUAUCAUUAGAGAGCUUUUUCUCUAUUUAGUUGAUCCUUUAGUGUCUGUUUUCUUUAAUAUGCAGGUACAAGAUCUAUACUGAAGGAUACGCUUGGUCAGUGAGCUUGAAAUACAUUCUGGCAUGUGGUUCAGUUCCACUUAUAGUAUCACCAGAAUAUCUAGAUUUUUUCAGUCGUGGGCUGACUCCGCAGAAAAAUUAUUUGCCGGUUCGUCCAUCUGAUUUGUGCUUGUCUAUAAAGCUUGCUGUUGAGUGGGGCUAUGGACAUCCUGAUAUGGUACCACUUCUUUCUUAUCUUGCAUUAAAGUUUUCUCUGUUUUGUUCCUUGACCAGGAUUAUCGUGAGAUGUUAGUUGGUUUCAAACUUGGAAUUUUAAGUGGCAAAAUCUGAUAUAAGUCACACUUUCGACCACACAUCUGGGAGGGAUAAAAUAAUAAGGAAAUAAGGAAAUGUUACCCUUCAAUUUGCAAGUGUGUGUGAUUUUUCAGCAUGUCCAUAGUGGAAGUCAUGCUAAAAUACUGUUGUUCUGCAUUCACGGAUAGAUCGGAAUAGAAUUUCUAUAGAUAUUUAGCUUAGGGCCAAAUUUUUAUUCCUUAUCUUAGAAUGAGUUUUCAAUUCUCUCCAUUUCCUACUUCCUAAUCGCCCCUCUCCCCUUCUAAACAUUUAUAACAAGUGAAAAAUAAAGAGGAAAUGUUGCCAAGAGAAAAGUUGUGUACAAAUAUGCAUCCUUGCGUUCCUUUAACAAAAAUUGGCAUUUAUAAACUGAAUAGUUCUCCGCAACAUCUUAAUUAAAUAGGCUGAAGCAGUGGGAAGAGCUGCCCAAGAUUUCAUUGGAAAUUUGACGAUGGAUAGGGUCUACGAUUACAUGUAUCAUCUCCUAGUGGAAUACUCGAAGCUGCUGGAUUUCAGACCUCGUCAACCUCCUGCUGCCAUGGAGGUGUGCGUGGAUUCAGUGCUCUGCUUUGCUGAUGAGAAUCAAAGACGAUUCCUUAGAAAGUCGCUUGCUUUCCCCUCUUCAUCACUCCCUUGCUCGAUUUAGCUUUCAAGUGGCAACGUUGAUCACCAUUGAUAGGGAUAACAAACAAGUUUACAUCAUACUGAGGGUUGAGUCACAGAAAUACGCAGUUUGACAUUUGCUUUUUUGGUCAUACAGCUUCUGUAAGUUUAUAAGUUGAGCAGAAGGAACGAUAGAGAGUAUAAGUUGUUAGCAGUCCAAGCUAAUUCCAGCCUUGGCCCCUUUUCAUUGGAUUGGACAAAGAUCUUUAGAAUCGUGAAAGAAAAAUCAGAAACAAACGGAAAGAGUAGAGGGAUAAGUUCACCGAAAAUGCGUUCAGAUAGACAAGUAGUGCUUCUUUUCUUUUGACUGUUUAUUAAUUAGUUCAGUUAUUCUUUAUUUAUCAUUAUUAUUAUUAUUUCCUACGUGAAACAGUUGUUCUAGCUUCUACUAUCAAAGUUGAAUAAGAUAUGUCGGUAUUUUUCAGCUUGGCAUUAUAUGAACUUGAAAAAGAUCUGUGUUUGGACAAUCACCACGAAAAGUUUACAAAUAGGCAGAAACUGGAUUUGAUACGGUACCCAUAUCAAUCCCAGAACCUGAAAGGUUCAAAAUGAGGCUGAGGAGAUUUGGCAAUUGGUAUUUUAGAAAUUUAAAGUAACAAGGCCAAGAAAAUGACGCGACUUGCUAGCGUCAAGAAAAUGAUGCGACUUGCUAGCGUCAAGAAAAUGAUAUGCCCGUAAAAGUUUUCUAGAAAUGCCAAAUUGAAAUUCGAUAGAAGAGUGGUGAAGUAUUUUGUAGCAUUAGUUGCACAAAUCAUAGUUAUGCCUUUAAACCACUUUGGUAAGCUGGAGUGGCAUGUAAUAGAACUGGAAUUUAACAGCUUUUGUUCCCAGAAGGAGUCGACUCAUUAAUUGUGCUACUUAUAACAAGUGAAAGGAAAUGGUGGUUGCUCAGCCCCCAAAGGCACCCGUUAGUCCUCAUUUGCCACAAGACGAGGUUUCCUCAAAUUCAUACGGGUGCGUAAUGUAUUCGUUUGAUCUGACGGUAGUUCAGUUUUCAUCAGUUCUUCUAUAGGUCUAGUUGGGUUUUCCUCUAUAUUAUGUUAGAAUAUGAGUAAAGUAAGUAAAUGACGAAUGACAAAAAAAAAAAAAAAAACCCUAAAGGCAAAAAGGAAUUAAUGGUCGUCUUUUUUCUUUUUUUUUUUAAAUACAAAUGAUAAAAUUAUUUAAAAAAAAAAAGGAACAAAAGGUGAAAAGGGAAAGCAUGAAAAGGAGAAGCAACUUCUUGGAAAGCAAACGGCAUGUGCGUAUGGGAGAGAUUCCUUCUGAGAAUGAAAGAAGUUAAGAAAAAGAUUAGAAUUAGGACAACAAAGCGGUCAAAGAUUUGGCGGCUGCAAAGUGUGAUUAAUAGUCUUAAUACUUUCUAUAUCCAGUUUUUUUUCAACAAGUCAAAAAUUAAUCCUAAACAAUUAGAUAAGAAACGCUCAGAGAUAAUCGAAAUCCUGGUGCAAAACACAAUUUAAAUUAGAGCUCACAAACUAACACCAUCCAGCCAAUUGAUAACUGAAAGUGCGGCUGAGGACCUUAAAUUCAGUGUUUGAUACAACACAAUCUAUAUCCAGUGUUUGAUUACAACUCUCCUACAAUUCGCCGCCUUUAUCACUUGCGUAGUUAGACUUGCCUUUGACCGACCCUGAAUGGAGUUCGUAAUCAUGCGCACCAUGCCAUCAACUAGUUAAUGAAGUACCCAAAAUUUUUAAGAGAUUCUUAUUACUCCAUUAUUUUUUUGUUUUUGAAACGAAAGUGCAUGUACAAUCGAAAGUGAUCCUUUAAUUUUUUUUUUGUCGAAACGAUAGAUGUCCUAUAACCUAAUCUAGCCUAGUCUAAGGGGAAGGGGAGGGGGUUCGAUGUGAGUACAGACUCCAUCGAUGAAGGUCAAUUAAGACCGCCACAAAUCGUGGCAAAUUUGUGGGAGGCAGGGAUUGAACCCUGACCUCCAGCAUCACCUUUAAUGGUGAUGACCACUGGACCAAAUGGCCAGGGGCGAAAGUGAUCCUUUAAUUGCCUUUUGCUUUUCAUGUCGUUUCACAGUGCUUGAGAAGGAGAAUUUUUCUAAAUAGUUUAAGCCUUUAAGGAGAAAAAGCUCCCUGUUUGAGGCCACUUUUAUUUUUAUUUUUGUUCUAACAGAAUUUAACCAAUUUAUUACUGUCUAUGAUCAUCGGUGGAAAAAAAAUUAGUGCACCAAAACAAUUUGAAUUACUAAUUAAUAUUCUAUACACCGAUUGUGUAUACACUUUCAUCUUUGAACAAGCAUUCUUUGAUGUGUAUACAUACACUAUUAUUUAGUGUAUAUAAGAUUUAUUCAAACAAAUUGUUGGUUGGAAGAAAUUUGUGCAGAUAUCCAAUUUCCAUUUCUGACGCAUGACAUUUCCAGGCAUGAGUAAUGAAUGACACAUGAUCGGGACUAAGAACUCCAAUUUUAAAUUGGAAAAUAACUGAAAAAUAGAAACAAGUACCUAUCUAAUAUCUCGAUUUUUUUUUUUUUUGUAAACAUUUGAGGGUAAAACAUAGCAGCACCACUACUUUCUUCGUGAUUAUGGAGUGAACCUUGCAGCCUACCGUGUUUAAGGCUUCAUCAGGAAAACUAAAAAGAAAGGUUGGCAUCAAAAUUAAAGCUAUUCAAAUGUGCUCAAUUUAUUUAUUUUUUGUUGUCCAUUCUUUAUCACAUAAGUUAUUAUUAUUAUGUAAAAAAGGAGGAAGCAGCUUCUGCCAUAUUCCCAUGCUAGCAGUACCAAGACGGUAUUAGAAACAAGCAUUUUUGCGUCUCCGUGUGCCAUCAACAUCCACAUCUUCUCCUCCCACUCCCACCCCUUCUUUUUCUUCUUCUAGCUUUCCUUUUUUUUUUUUAUUCAUGCUAGCAUGUUUUAAUAAUUAGUAGUAUUUCAAUUCGGAAGAUAAACGGGAAAAAAAAAAGAAGAUAUUGGGGGAGCCAGCAGCCGCAUUAAGAAACAAAACAGUAAGCACCAACAGUGCGAACGAUACAAACAAAUAGUACUGGCCCAAAAUAAAAAAUUAAAUUGAAAAAUAUAAUUUCCUAUUUAUAAACUCAAAACUCAAAAGGCAAUAAUACGGCUUCAAAUUCUCAGUUUUCAAAGUAGUCUCUGUCCCUUAUUUGUACAUUUGUCACGUGUCUCUAGCUUUUUGUUACUCAAGUUAGCCUUUUGAUAAUAAUCUGUUGACAAGUUUUGUUAAUCCAAACUCAAACAAAAUAAAGAAGAGUUUUAGUUGAUUUCUAUGUUUAUGAUCAACAAGACGCUUUGUUAAAAAGAAAAUAAAAAAAAGUUUUGAGUUAUCUGUUUUAAUUGAUUUUGAGUAAAUUUGUCAAUAGAUUAUUAUCAAAAGGCUAACUUGAGUAACAAAAGGCUAAAGAUACAUGGCAGAUGUACAAAUAAGGAACAGAGGGGACAGAGACUGCUUUGGGGACAGAGGGAUUGAAGCCCAAUAAUGCUACAUUAUGAAAGAAUCGAAAAAUAAAACCUCAAAAAAAAAACCUCCAGAUGAAAAUUCUUUUAUUUUUGCUAGUAUUUAAAGCCAAGCCAUCCACAGCCACAGAAGAAUUUCCUGCCCUCUUCUUUUUAGCUCCAUUCUUCAUUCAAUCCCUCCCCCACAUUUUCACGCACCCGAUCUACGCACACCCCCUCGUAACGAAGAAACAAUAAUGGCCGGAAGCGGUGUCGUAACGGUCUAUGGCAACGGUGCAAUCACCGAGACCGCAAAGAAAUCCCCUUUCUCCGUCAAAGUGGGCCUUGCCCAGAUGCUCCGUGGCGGCGUUAUCAUGGACGUUGUCACCCCCGAGCAGGCCCGCAUCGCCGAAGAGGCUGGUGCAUGCGCCGUCAUGGCCCUCGAGCGUGUCCCCGCCGACAUCCGCUCCCAGGGCGGCGUCGCCCGCAUGUCCGACCCUCAGCUCAUCAAAGAAAUCAAGCAAGCCGUUACCAUCCCCGUCAUGGCCAAGGCCCGGAUUGGCCAUUUCGUCGAGGCCCAAAUCCUCGAGGCCAUCGGAAUCGAUUACGUCGACGAGUCGGAGGUCCUCACCCCUGCCGACGACGAAAACCACAUUAAUAAGCAUAAUUUCCGCAUCCCUUUUGUCUGCGGCUGCCGCAACCUUGGGGAAGCCCUCCGCCGCAUUAGGGAAGGCGCCGCCAUGAUUCGUACCAAAGGGGAGGCCGGCACUGGUAACAUCAUCGAGGCCGUCCGCCACGUCCGCUCCGUGAUGGGUGAUAUCAGAGUCCUCCGAAACAUGGAUGACGAUGAGGUCUUCUCGUUUGCCAAAAAAAUUCAGUCCCCGUAUGACUUGGUGAUGCAGACCAAGCAAUUGGGGAGGCUUCCGGUCGUCCACUUUGCAGCCGGAGGAGUUGCGACGCCGGCGGAUGCGGCGCUGAUGAUGCAGCUGGGAUGUGACGGGGUGUUCGUGGGCUCAGGGGUGUUCAAGAGCGGAGAUCCGGCGAGGCGGGCGAGGGCGAUUGUGCAGGCGGUCACGCAUUAUAGCGACCCGGAGGUGCUGGCGGACGUGAGCUGCGGGCUUGGCGAGGCUAUGGUAGGCAUUAAUCUUAAUGAUGAUAAGGUUGAGAGGUAUGCGAACCGCUCAGAGUAAAAUAUGUGGUGAGGUGAUGACCGGGAAGAAAAGACCUGAUUGAAUUGGAUUUCUGAUAGUAUUAGUGAUUAUAGCCUGUGAGAUGAGGGCUAAAGGAACCUCUUUCAUGCGUAGACCAACAGUUUACUAUCUGUAGUUUAGCUUCCUUUACUACCAUUUGUGUUGUUAGGUUUCGAUGUUUCGUAUGAUUGGAAUUUGGAAAUACGUUUUAAUUGAUUUUUUUUUUUAAUUUCUAUCUGUUUCAGCUCGUAGUAGACAUAUUAUCCAUGUUUCCCAGUAUUUGAUUUCCUUCUUUAGUUGUAAAACGGAUAUGUGAUGCUCAGCCUUUAUGGUAAUCAUACAACGAAGGUGAUACGGUUUCUUCAAAUGGUCAUUGGGCUUGACUAACUCUUCAAGGAUUGGAAGCUUAUUUGCAGAGUGAGCGCCGCCUUGUUCUGUUGACUCCCUGUUUAUUUCGCUUUUUUAGGUUUUGAGAUGUUUUUGCACUUGUCUUCUGGGAUUCUUGCCGAAUAGAUGUUUAAUUUGUGGGUUUGGGUGGAUCAGUGGGGUAGAUUUUGAGUGUUGCAUAUUUCAUGCUUUGUACUAUCUGUUUCCGGAUUACACAUCAUCUGUUUCAUGUUAUUUGGAUGUUUUGCAUGUGUUUUGGGAUUCAACGCUUUUUGUUGAAUGGAUGUUUUGCACCACUAUGAACAAUUUGUGGGUCAAUCAUGGGUUAGUCUACAUAAUCAUUUUGGUGACUGAUGCACGAUGUGUACUUGAAAACAUGGCGUGUGUAAAAGUAGUAUCCGUGUGAGUGAGCCCAAGACUAAAUGACUAUGAACAAAUUUGCAAGAGUUUGUUCAAUCUGUAAUGAGCAAAACAUAUGUAUCUUUUCAGACUAUGAAAAAUUGCUUGAGGCAUGUUUGAUGCGAUCGAUAUCUGUGUUAGUGGUCGAUCACAUAUAUCAGUUUUGACAAGGUAUCCUAGACGUUUUCUAAUUAUAAGUUGCUGCAGCAUCAUGGUUUAAGUCUAGAUGAAACCAGAUAUGACAGCUAGUUGCUACUUUCACUGCUAAUCAAUCCAUUCACUCGCCAGUUGAUGGCUAAUGGCCUUGCAACUGGAACUUAGAAUAAUGAAGCUCUUCAUGUUAUUAAGGAAAUCUCACCUAGGGGUGCAGAGAAAUCGAGUAGCUUGAAUCGAGCUCGCGAGUAGCUUGGUUAGCUACUCGACUCGAGCUCGAUCUAAUUCGAGUUCGAGUCGAUCUCGAUCUACUUGCUACAGUAUAUCGAGUCGAUCUCGAGUAGUUAGGAGUAAGAAAUUCGAGCUCGUCGAGUAGCUUGAGCUCGAUAGCAUAUAUAUAUUGUAUUUUAUUUUAUAUAUCAAUUUACUCUUUCAGGUUUGUUAGCUAGAAUAUUUACGGGCUUAACCAGUUAUGUUGUAGUAAUAAUGAAGGGUGAAUAAGUAAUUUUGGCUUGGAAAAUAUGAUGAAAUGAUGAAAACUAAAAACGAAAAAUGAAAAAGCUUCCGUCGAAUCUCGAAUCCGUCAUUCCAUCCUUCAUAGUUCAUUCUUCUUCUUCGUUCGGUCGUUCCUCUUCAGUCUUCACUCUUCAACCUUGACUCUCAAAUUUCAAUCUCUUAUUCUUUGGCUCAUCUUCUCAACUGUCACAAGCCACAACUGACAAGGCAGUCGAUCAUCUAAAGCUUUAAACACUUCAGCAGUUUAGCUCAAAAUGGAGUAGAUAGCAGCGUGAGUAGCCGACCUUUGAGUGAGGGUUUGAAAUCAAAUCAAAACCCACCAAUUUCAACAGCUGCAUUUGACAAAUUAAGGUACUUAUUGUGCAUUUGUGUAGUAAAUAUGUGCAUUAUGAGGUUCAAUUUUAUAAAUGUAAUAUUAAUUUUUAAUCUCCAAACCCUAACCAAAAAAAUUGGGGGCUGCAGCCUGCGAUUCAAUAUAUUCCAUUUGCGUAUCCCAUUCCCUCUCCAUUGCUAUACUGGAACUUUGAGGAAAUGGAGGGCAGCUCGAUUCCUUCAACAAGUGAUUCGGUGGUUGGCGCGACAGCUUCAAGAAUUGGUAAGUUUCAGAAAUUUGCUUUACAUCUGAGUUGGAUUAUUAAAUGUUAACUAGUUAGUAUAUUAAUGAGAUUAAUGAGAAUAUUCAGUUAUGUUCUUAAGUAGGUCAGGAAUCUGGAGAAUAAUUUUGAUGCUAGCUUAUGCAGUUUUAUUUAACGCAACAAAUUAUUCUAGGAAUUAGAAAAUUUAAAGACAAUCUUCAAUACUGUUGGUAGUUCCUUAUUGUCACCCUUUUUCUUUCUUGUUUGCCACGAAGGUUGUUCCUUUGAAAUAUGCCUAAAAGUGCUGUACAAGUACUAAUAAUAUAGCCAUUCUAACAGAGUGUAAUGCAUAUGGGAUUUGUUUUACUGUCGUUCAGUUUUUUUUCCCUGUUUAUGUUUUAUUGCCAUGCUCUUGAGAUGAGACUAUUUAGGGAAGAUUAAUUAUAAAUGUAAAUGGUGGAGGCUUGGAGAGAAACUGAUUUUAGCUGGAAUUAAGACAAAGAUGGAUUUUGAGGGUUUAGAUAAUGGAAAUUGUCUGUUAUAUGCAUCAAAGUUGGGUAUUGUCAAUUGAUUAGCUUGUGUUAUUUUCUUUUUGGGUAUUUGUACUCAAAAUGGGCAAAAAGUGCGAAAGAUGCUUAUUUUGCUAUAGUUAAAUGGCUCAAUCGAACUUUCUUAUGAUAGGACCAUUUUCGUAGAUAACUUUCUUUCACGGUGAGGACUUCCCAUUUUGACAUUAAUUUCUUUUUAAAUGGACAGAAAUGCCUCAUUUUUCAAUUCAGGGUUUGUUCCCCUUUGCUUCAUGUAGAUGUCAUAUUUGUAUGGCUAGGUGUUGUAGAUUGUACACCAAAGUUUGAAGAUGCAUAAGGAGCAAACAAGCUGUUUCAUUUACCAGAUUACAAACAAGAGCUUCUAAAUGCUCAUUAGACUCCAGAAAAUUUCCCUAAAUUGUUCCUUUCAAUUGGUUGCACUCCUUUUUGUAUUUUCAUGAAAUUCUGAUGAGGUUGAGAACAGGUUGUUGCUUAUGUAUAUUGCUGAAAUGUUAAUGUGGAUCAUGGCCACUUAGUUUCUGCAUGCAUAUGGUGUUUCUUUAAUCUGCCGGUCCUUUUGUUUCUCAUUGGUUUCUCUUUUGCGGAAUUUCUGAAUUUUAGAAGCUAGAAUUCUUGAAUCUUGAAUCCUUAUUAAUCUUAUUGAUUCCCCUGGGCAUGUUGAUUUCUCAUCUGAGGUGACUGCUGCCCUUCGUAUUACUGAUGGUGCAUUGGUGGUGGUUGAUUGUAUUGAGGGUGUGUGUGUCCAAACAGAAACUGUCAUUCGACAGGCUCUGGGAGAAAGGAUUCGUCCUAUCUUAAGUCUUAAAAUCUCAACAACAUGGACAGGUGUGGACAGGUGUUUCCUGAGGGACUUCUUAUGCUUUAUGUAUCCAAGAUGAUUCCAGCAUCUGACAAAGGUAGAUUCUUUGCUUUUGGCCGUGUGUUUUCUAGAAAAAAUUGUCAUUGGCAUGAAGGUUAGAAUCAUGGGUCCCAACUAUGUUCCGGGAGAGAAAAAGGACUUGUAUGUUAAGAAUGUCCAAAGAACAGUUAUUUGGAUGGGUAAGAAGCAGGAAACAGUUGAGGAUGUGCCAUGUGAUGUGGUAACACAGUUGCUAUGGUUGGUUUGGAUCAAUUCAUCACCAAGAAUGCAACCUUGACCAAUGAAAAGGAAGUUGAUGCUCAUCCAAUUAAAGCAAUGAAGUUCACUGUCUCCCCUGUCGUGCAUAUUGCUCUGUCUCCCCUUCUAAGUCUUGUCCAUGUGGCUCCAGGACUUUAAUUGGCUUCUAAGUUUUGUUUCUUUGCAUUGCAAUUAAUCUUGUUCAAUUGAUAUUAAUGUACUUUAAUUCGAAUGUUUAGUGCAACUUAGUUUAUUGUUUAGUACAAAUUAGUAGUAUUGCAUUUAAGAUACAGAGACUAGAUUCUUUAGAUUAUUCGAGCUCAUUCGAGCUCGAGUACUCGACUUGAUAUCGAGCUCGAAUGACAUGUCGAGCUCGAUCGAGUCGAGUUCGAGCCUGCAUAUGCUUUUCUCGAGUCGAGCUCGAUCUUUAUUUCUCGAGCUCGAGUCGAGCUCGAGCUCUGGUGGUCUGAGUCGAGCUCGAGCUCGAGUACGCCACUACUCGAGCUCGACUCGGCUCGAUUUCACCCCUAAUCUCACCUCAUGUACUACUGUCAGGCCCCGUGGAUGCUUCUUGUCCAGUAAGCCUUACGGCUUAUGGUUUAAGCUGUAAAAGUUGAGCACGAAAUUUCUCGUUUGGUUGGUCCUCGUGUCAUUGAUUCAAUCAGUGGGAUUCAUAGGUCCAGUUAUGUGAGAUCCUGUUUGGCCACGCUGUCUUUGUAGUUCCUUGCUUCAAAAUAUGAAGAAAAAAAAUCCCUUAAUUUCCUUCACAUAAAUUGGCAUUGGCAGUCGCAUUGUGAUGGCCGUAGGCCUCAGUGGCAAACAUUAAACGGACUCGUAUCCUACUUCUGAGGAAGCGAAAAAAGCUGUUUGUUUCUCACAAGCCUCAGCUAAGAUUUAAUGAUGAUUGAAGUUGAAUAAUCUGCUAGCUGCCUAACAUUUUUACUGAAAUAUUUUGCUUGAAUUGGAAUCUUAUCUUAUCGGAACUAAACAAGUGCAAUAAUGGCCCGGCUUUACAUAACCUGUUGCUUGUGGCGGGUUUGUCCGCAGCUUCCAAACAGACCAAGGAAUGGCAGGAAAGUUGGGCCUCCAUUGCCAUGUCCAAUUAAGGCAACGGAAGCAUUUGGGCUUUGAAGACCUGAAGUACAUGAUCUGUGCUGUCUACUUGAGCGUUUGUUGCUUCGGGACUAAUAUGAGUUAGGCCCACGAUAUGAUCGCUUUUGCAGUUGGACAAGUGUCAUCCCCGGUAUUCGAUCAUUGUGCAGCAGAAUUCUGCAUUGAUGUGGACGCGGUGCGUACCUAUUGUCUUGUUUCUUUAUUAACAUACCAAGCGUGUUCGUACUCGGUACUAGUACGCUUUCUAGUUUUUACUUCAUGGCAAUAUGGCAUAUAGGUAAAAAUAGAGUUUAAUGUAUUAUCGCAUCUUUUCUAGAGAGCAAAUAAAAGAAAAAGAGGUAAAUAUAAAAAAUAUGUGUUGGCGUAAGAAUCAGGGUUUGCUUGGAUUGAACUAAUUUCAGAUAAAAUAAUUUAUUUCACAAAUUUCGAUUAUCUUCUUAUUUUUUAAUUAAUAUAUAUAUAGACAUCACAAAAAAGUUGUUACAGCAAUUAUUUCAACUAAAUCAUUCGAAUAAACUCAUAUCCACCCCUUCAUGGGGUAAACAAACAAAAUUAGUGGUCCUCUCCUCGUACUUGCAGCAAUUUGGCUUUCAACAAAAUCCUCGUUUUGUUCCAUCACUUUUUUGACUGUUUUGUUUGUUUGGGUUGGGUUGAUGCCCAAGAUGACGCUUUGACAGCCAUCAUCUUUUAUUUUCUUUUCAAUCAUGUCUCCACCGAUUUAUGGGUCUGAAGAUAAUUAUUCAGUUCUUUCCCUCUCUUCUUUUUUCCCCUGAUAAAUUUUGUUUUUAAAAAAAAAUCCACAAUACUUUUUGAUUGCUAUUUAACAAAAAAUUACAAUUGAUCCGCAAGUAGUGAAAAUCAAAUUCUAACAUAAAUUUAAAGUACUAAAUUGACAAUUUAUUAAAAGGCAUUUAACUCUUAAAAAUGAUUUAUAAGUCGUGAUUACUACUACAAUCAUUCUAGAACGAACGAGUAUAAGCAUCAAGCAUGGCAGUGGAGCCCCGUACACGUGGAAUGCGUAGAAGAGUGGUACUCUUAUUAUUAUAACUUUUGGUUUCGCACAGUAGUAGUACUACUACUUGGCAUACAAGUCCGACAGCAGCAGCAGCAUUCCGUGGCUUUUAAUAUAUUAUUAUUUUUCCCUCUUGUUUUAAUCGUCAGCUAAAAAGACCAAAGACAUGGCAAAGAAUUUAAACCUUAGACAAAAUACCCCGCAAUGACUCAUCCCAGGAUUAAGACUUUAAUAAAGAGGAUAAGGUUUGGUAAGGAUUUAAAAAAAAAAAAAAUGGAAGACGCAAAACCACAUUAUUGUACUAGUCCAAUAAUUUUUGGUAAGGUUCUCAAGCUGUUCAUUUUGGAUUGCAAAAAUUUUUACAACUUUUAUGAAUGUAAUUUUUAAAAUAUCCAAGGAAAUAUCAUUCAAUUCAAAAUAUCGAAGGACGCUUGUUCAAAAGGCUUUACCCCCCCCCACUAAACAAUUAAUUUAUUUUCCCUACUUUUUUUUUUCUUUUGAUUUUAACUUUAAGCCACAAAUUUGUAAUCCAUGCAAGUAAUUAUACCGUGGUUGAUUAAAUUAGUAGCAGUGCUCCUCCUCCCUGAACAAAAUAAGCCAACGUCAAAUGCUAACAGCUCAUGAGAAGAUCAGCGCGGGAAGACCAAGGGUCCAUCCAAUCCCCAGCCCCAGUUUAAAUUUUUUUUUUUUUUUUUAAAAAAAAAAAAAUGUCCAGGCUCCCGGCAUUGAAAAGGAAUCCCAACAGGUCAUAUCAUCUUCCCGGACAACGUACGAAAAAUAAAUAAAUCCCCAAUAAAGCUUAUAGUUACUAACUCACUGUCUAUCUAGUAUCUACCCCAUUGGAAACCGUUACCUAAUCUAAUUAAUACUACUGUACAACAAUUCAUUUCCACACGUAAACACAUGUGCGGAGCGAUUUAGCGUGUGUAGGAUAAAAAAAGAUAUUUACAGAAAAUGUAAAAAUUUUUCUGCUGAAAACUACAAUCCAAACAAAAGGAAUAAUAUGUAUAAAUAAUGUCCAAUAUUCUGUUAUUUGUCUUUAUAAAGUUCUAAAAGAAUGCAUUUUUAUCAUUACAAUACGAGCAUUGCUUUAGGUAUAAACGAACAAGAUUUUAACUUACACAAAAUUUAUUAUUGUAAAGAUAUCCUUAUACCUGUGAAUAUUUAUUUUGUUGCGGAAUAUAAAGUAUUUGUGCAGCUUAGUUUGUUUGAAUUGAGAUGAUUUCAAGUAAAAUAAUUUAUUUCAUAAAUUUUCAUUGUUUUUCUAUUUUUCGAACCACAUUUUCAUCUCGUAUAAAUUGUUGUGUUAUAAAUAAAACUCAAAAAGAGCGUUGAACGUAAAGUCCACUCUCUAUCACCCAUCAUCAGACUGUCCUAGUCUUCUUUUACAAUUCACUCCCGGAAUCCCAUAUUAUUUGUCCAUUCAUUCCUGCCUUCCUUCCUUCCUUCCACAAUAAUUCCGCUGAUCAUCGAGGGAGUCUCUUGUUGUCUGUGCAAUGGGGAGCUCUAGUUACAGAGUUUGCGUGUGCUUUACGCGCAAGUUCAAGGUGGCAGAGGUGCAGCCACCGUCCGACGUUAAAGAAGCUUUCA